rnacentral:rRNA from 1 species
CGGACGGGUGAGUAAUGUCUGGGAAACUGCCUGAUGGAGGGGGAUAACUACUAGAAACGGUAGCUAAUACCGCAUAACGUCGCAAGACCAAAGAGGGGGACCUUCGGGCCUCUUGCCAUCGGAUGUGCCCAGAUGGGAUUAGCUAGUAGGUGGGGUAACGGCUCACCUAGGCGACGAUCCCUAGCUGGUCUGAGAGGAUGACCAGCCACACUGGAACUGAGACACGGUCCAG